CGCUGCCGCUACCCCUACUACCGCGGCUGCUGCUGGUGAGGUGAGGUGAAGUGAGCUGAGGUGUGGUGUGGUGUUUGGGCCGGUGCUUCCGGUGACCUGGGAGGAGUUGGGGAACAGGACCUCCGAGGGACAGCGGCAACGACGGGCCAGCUGCUGCUUUGUCUCCUCAGCUCCGGUCCCGUCUGCGCUGCCGCAGGGAGGCCGCCCCGGCCCGGCGAGCCGAACCAAUGCUGGAUCUGGAGGUGGUCCCCGAACGCUCUCUGGGGAACGAGCAAUGGGAAUUCACGCUGGGAAUGCCUCUGGCUCAAGCGGUAGCCAUUCUUCAGAAGCACUGUCGCAUCGUCAAAAAUGUCCAGGUUCUCUACAGUGAACAGUCUCCUCUAAGCCAUGACCUCAUCCUUAACCUGACUCAGGACGGGAUCAAACUACUGUUUGAUGCUUUCAAUCAGAGACUUAAGGUGAUUGAAGUAUAUGACUUGACUAAAGUAAAGUUAAAAUAUUGUGGAGUACAUUUUAACUCUCAGGCCAUAGCUCCCACCAUUGAGCAGAUUGACCAGUCUUUUGGUGCAACCCAUCCUGGAGUGUACAACUCUGCUGAGCAGCUCUUCCACCUCAACUUCAGAGGACUGUCUUUCUCUUUUCAGUUAGACUCAUGGACUGAGGCUCCCAAGUAUGAGCCCAAUUUUGCCCAUGGUCUAGCUUCUCUCCAGAUACCCCACGGAGCAACUGUGAAACGAAUGUACAUCUACAGUGGAAACAGCCUCCAGGAUACCAAGGCUCCCGUGAUGCCCCUGAGCUGUUUCCUGGGCAAUGUGUAUGCUGAGAGUGUAGAUGUUCUUCGAGAUGGAACAGGACCCUCAGGUUUACGACUUCGCCUACUUGCUGCAGGUUGUGGACCCGGCCUGUUGGCAGAUGCCAAGAUGCGGGUACUUGAACGUUCAGUGUAUUUUGGCGAUUCUUGUCAAGAUGUUCUUAGCAUGCUUGGUUCUCCACACAAGAUCUUCUAUAAGUCAGAAGACAAGAUGAAAAUUCAUUCUCCUUCCCCACAUAAGCAAGUUCCUUCCAAGUGCAAUGACUACUUUUUUAACUAUUUCACUCUCGGAGUGGAUAUCCUCUUUGAUGCGAAUACUCACAAAGUGAAGAAGUUUGUCCUUCACACCAAUUACCCUGGGCAUUAUAAUUUUAACAUUUAUCAUCGUUGUGAGUUCAAGAUCCCACUAGCCAUAAAGAAAGAAAAUGCAGAUGGUCAGACAGAAACAUGCACAACCUAUAGCAAGUGGGACAACAUCCAAGAACUCCUGGGUCACCCUGUGGAGAAGCCUGUUGUCCUGCACAGGUCCUCCUCCCCAAACAACACCAACCCAUUUGGCUCCACAUUCUGCUUUGGUCUUCAGCGGAUGAUCUUUGAGGUUAUGCAGAAUAACCACAUUGCCUCGGUGACCCUGUAUGGCCCCCCCAGGCCUGGUGCCCAUCUGAAAACAGCAGAGCUCCCCUAGGGACAUCACCACCCAUGCCCCUCUCCCCCGUGGAACUGUGCAUCGCAUCCUCCUCAGCGGGCCUUCAUGUGCCACCUCCUGCUGGUGCCAACAGGGGACACAGACUGCAAAGAGAAGCACAAACUCUGAGCCUUGAUACCUGGACCCAGGAGCUUUCGACUAACACGUAAGGAGGCAGGGAUCUGUCUCCCCUGUCGCACACAUGUUGGAAAACUUGGGACUCUCUGUGGCUGAGAACACAGGCACCCAGGAUGAGGACAAGGUCCUGCCUUUGGCCCAACAUUGCCACAUGAUCCUUAAGGCAAGCAGGUAGCAUGUCCAUAGUACUUGGUUGCAACUUUUGCACUACAUCCACUUUAGUUACUUGAUGAGCUGGCUGUGGCCAAGGUGGCCCACCUGCCCUUCCUUGUUCCUUUCUUGCACGCGCUCCCUGCCAGGUCCAGCAGGCACACCCAACUGGUUGAAACACAGCUUUCGACCAUCCAGGUACAUGCCCAGGCCUCGUUCCCGCCCUUCCUGGAGCCAGCUUUCAAGGUUGCCUGUGUCCCGCUCUGCCCCAAUCUGGCUGGCAGGGCUGCAUGUUUCCAUCCCGUUUGCCUCUUUUAUUUAAUGCCAAAGUUUUAGCCAAAGACAUCUUCCUCUUUUUGUUGUGUUUCAGCAUUCUGUUCUGCACUGUGGGCUGGCUCCCCUGUCCCAACCAUGGGCAGUGUCCCUUGGCUGGGCCCAUUCAUGGCUCAAGGCCUCUGGGGACUCAAGGAGAGCUGGGCUGCUCAGUCUCUUCAUGGGUCUUGCUAAGGAAAGUAGCAUAUGUGCUUUAAAAAUAUUAACCUUUUGAAAAGAUUGAGAAGAGAAAUGUAUAAUUUUAUCCCAUUUUUAAUAUUUUGGUCUAGCAACUUGUGAUACAUAGAUGACAAUUUUGUGAGUUUUUCAAAUGUGUGUACAGAUUUUUGUAAAUAUGACUCUUUUGUAAUUAACUCAUGUACAGCCUCAUCCUGUAUAGUUUAACGAUGAAUGUGCAGGGGACCUGCCCCAGGCUUCUGUGUGAUUCCUGGGCCUACAGCCAGGGUUGUGUGGCGCUUUCAUGACUUUGUGACUGACUGGUGUCUUCCCAUUUGGACUGUGGCCUGGCCAGAGACACCCCCAACCCCUUCCCUGCACAUCCCACUAUUGGGGCAGCCAGGACUGAUCUCAUCCUCCUGAAGUGGGGGAACCUUCCUCGUGUCCUGCCCACACCUCUUCUCCAAUAAAGACCUAUGCCCUUAGCAACAGCUCACCAUGUGCUGUUGCUGGGACGUUUGUACUAAAAUAA